CUUCUCCGGCGCAAGCAGAUUUUUGCACCAACAAUCAUUAUCAAAUAACGAUCAUUAAUUGACUGCCCAUCAUACAUCACAUGUGCUAUGCGAUUCUGAUGAUCUCACAAUACUUGUAGAUGAAUCAACAUGUCAUAGGUAGUGAAAAUGUGCUCAUGCAUAGCACUUAUCUUAAUUGUCAUUAUCCAUCCACUCAUCA
rnacentral:lncRNA from 1 species